GAUGAACGCUGGCGGCGUGCCUAACACAUGCAAGUCGAACGAGAAGUUAACUUUUGAUUCCUUCGGGAUGAUGAAGUUAGCAGAAAGUGGCGAACGGGUGAGUAACGCGUGGGUAAUCUACCCUGUAAGUGGGGGAUAACCCUCCGAAAGGAGGGCUAAUACCGCAUAAUAUCUUCACUUCUAAAAGAAGAGAAGAUUAAAGAUGGCCUCUGUCUUAAGCUAUCGCUUCAGGAUGAGCCUGCGUCCUAUUAGUUAGUUGGUAGGGUAAUGGCCUACCAAGACCACAAUGGGUAGCCGGUCUGAGAGGAUGUACGGCCACACUGGGACUGAGAUACGGCCCAGACUCCUACGGGAGGCAGCAGUGGGGAAUAUUGCGCAAUGGGGGAAACCCUGACGCAGCGACGCCGCGUGGAUGAUGAAGGCCUUUGGGUUGUAAAAUCCUGUUUUGGGGGAAGAAACCUUAAGGGUCCAAUAAACCCUUAAACUGACGGUACCCCAAGAGAA
rnacentral:rRNA from 1 species